rnacentral:rRNA from 1 species
CCUACGGGAGGCAGCAGUGGGGAAUAUUGGACAAUGGGGGCAACCCUGAUCCAGCCAUGCCGCGUGUGUGAAGAAGGCCCUCGGGUUGUAAAGCACUUUCAGUGAGGAAGAACGCCUGGUGGUUAAUACCCAUCAGGAAAGACAUCACUCACAGAAGAAGCACCGGCUAACUCCGUGCCAGCAGCCGCGGUAAUACGGAGGGUGCGAGCGUUAAUCGGAAUUACUGGGCGUAAAGCGCGCGUAGGUGGCUUGAUAAGCCGGUUGUGAAAGCCCCGGGCUCAACCUGGGAACGGCAUCCGGAACUGUCAAGCUAGAGUGCCGGAGAGGAAGGUAGAAUUCCCGGUGUAGCGGUGAAAUGCGUAGAGAUCGGGAGGAAUAACAGUGGCGAAGGCGGCCUUCUGGACUGACACUGACACUGAGGUGCGAAAGCGUGGGUAGCACACAGGAUUAGAUACCCUAGUAGUC